CAGAAUACAGUGGAUUCAUAAAUAAUCGUCGCAAAACGCGUAUAUCAAUUAGAAAGGGCUUGUCCAAUGUCCAGCAGAGGGUGCUAGGUCCUUCGCUAGGACAACUUUAACAGGUUCAGCAGGGUUGGCUCGCCAUCUUGUUUCAUUCCGCACUUGGGUUUCGAAAGGAACAAGUUCUUUCUUCGCCCCAACCUUACUGGCCUAUCAUUCCAACUUAAAAUACACUCAAAUAGAUAAAAUAAAGACUAGAUAAUCCGUUCAAAUAAAUAAAUAUAAGGUCGUUACUUUUUUUACAGAACUAUUUCAAGUUGCAAAGCACAUGGCGGGUGGAAUGUCCAGGCAAAGCCUACAUUUAUCGAGAGACAUCCAUGCUUUUUGGCUGUUUGUGGUGUGUUCGAAUAAGUGGGCGUUGAUGCUGAUGAUUCUCUGCCUAUUUCUUCCUGUCUUGGGUCGUGCGGUGUAUGGGGCACGGACAGCUCCCCAAUUAAGCCACUUAGUUAGUAGUUCGGCUAUAGCGACUUACCAGCUGGAUAGUUACAAUAUAUUUAAGGAAAUUCUUUUUUUCUUCUUCCAGGCAAGACGGGUGGAAAGUCUAAACCCAACCAGAACUCGUCUCGUCUCCUUCUUCAUUUGGGAAAUGUGCACAACGGACGCUCAGUUAACAUACAUGAAAGCUCUUAUAUCUGCAUCAACCCGAUUGGCUGUUGCCGGUCACAUGGAUCACAUCAACUAGAGACUGCAUAUAAAUAAUAAGGAAACCAAACAAAAUUGGGUUUACCAGUUUGUUUGUUUUAUUUCUUCUUCCACAUUUAACUUCAAAAACAACAAUAAUAGGAAAUGACAUUUUCAACAAUUGCUAACAAUUUUCAAUUUUUUCUGUUUUAUUUUUUUUUUAUUUUUAGGUAUUUCUUUAAAUUUUAUUUAAAUUUCUUAUGUUUUAUUUUCAUGGGUAUUUUAACUUGGGUUACAAUAUGCUAAAGUAUGCUUUCGGAAAUUCCGGUGCUACCGCAAAUUCAAAAACAUUAUAUUUUAAUAAAUAAAUAUUUGAGAGCAUGCAGGCCAGCGAAUUGUUUAAUCCACCUAUUAGAAACAACAGAAAUAAGAAAUACAGGAUUAUAGUCCAAUCCUUAACUUAAACAUAUUUUAAAUUAGAAAUUAUUUGUUACAUAUGCUCAAAACAGGGAAUGUGUUAAACAAACUUCAUAUGAUGGAGUUGGUAGAGCUUUUUAGAAAACUUUGAGUAUUAGCUACUCAUUUUAUUUAAUUACUUUGAACGUUCGGGUUUACAGUUUGGCGGGCCACAUUUGGGCCCCGGACCUUGAGUUUGACAUGUUAAGUAGAGUCUGCGGCUGAUUAUUACUGUAUUUUCAGCACUGAAAGGCGCACCAACCGUCAACGAAUGGUCUAUUACGGUAUGCCUUAUGUCAACCUUAUGUCAACCAUAAGGCACACCAGCAAACAAGACAAAAGAGAUAAGUCUGUCUGUCUGUUGUAUUAAAUGUGUUCACAGUAACUGUAGAACUUGUUUGUGACAUUUUACACUUUAGCAAUGUUAAAAGUGUUAGCUAUGAGUGUUCACAAUACCUCUUUUGGCUUUAACAAGCGUUACUGUGACUACGCUAACUCCCAACCUUAUAAAUACAGAAACACGGUCUGACACCGUUACACGUUAGCCAUGUUAGCCACAUUGGAAUAUUCCCCAUAAAACCAGAGUAUUUGGAAGUCGUAAAAGAACGGACAGACAGUUUAACAGAGCGCAGUCUUAUGUUAAUUUUUCUUAUGUAGCCAUGCAUUUUGCAUUGUUCCUAUCUGGUUAUCUACACACUACAUGGUUUCAGUCACAUUGUAAGUAAGAAGUUCUGAUCCUGGAUGGUUUCUUUGUGUGUGCAGUUUGCACAUCCUUGUGUCUUUCCUCUGGGUGCUGUGGCUUCUUCCCUCGAUCCAAAAAUAUGUUGUGUAAUUUUGGUAUUCUAAGUUUCCCCCACAGGAGUGAGAAUGAAUUUGCGUGCUGGACUGUGUACACAGUCUGGCAACCUGUCAAAGUUGUAUCCUGCCUUGAAGACUAAUGGGACAGGCUGCAGCGGCUUCUGCGACUUCUAUGAAUGCUUAUAUUUGGUCCUCGUGUUUUCUACUCCUCAGUUUAUUCUUUUUUCAGUUUGUUCAUAUUUUACUUUUUACUUCUUUUUUUAAAGAUACUUUCAGGUUCAACUGUUUAGGUUUCUACUAUUUUUACCUCUGGCCACACAUGACAAAUGUUGGAAAGUUCAACUGGAAAUGGUGUGGACUGACAAAACGGGCAAUCUUUGAUUUGUGCAGCAUCCCUGGCCGCUUCUGGACAGCUUCUGUGGUCGGAAACACAUCCUGUCCCAUCUCUGUGGGAACCCGACUGGUGGUGGUCCACAUUCCAGAAGAUAACUACAUAGAAAAGCGGAAGGCAGGUUUUCGAGAUAAAGGUCCAAAACAAGCCUGCUAACAAACGUUAAACACUUUACAGCUUGUUUCCAUCAAUAUGCAGAUUUGAAAGUGACAGCCGUUCUGGCAAAGUACAGUCACUGAAGGCAUUCAUCACAUUUACAGCACAAGCCUUUAAGCUUACGCCCAUGUGCUAAUUGUUUAUAGAACAAAACCAUUCCAUUUGUCAUGUCAGUUUAAUAGGCUUCCCUGUAGGUCAGAGGGGGGAGCAUGUUUUUAUUUGGCAUGUUUCUUGGAAUAAAUCUCCACAUAUUACUCACACAGACGGAUUCCAAGAGUUUGUGUUGAACGCCAGCUCCAAAAGCUGGCAUCAUAGACACGUGCGUUUCUGUGAACAGUCUAACAUUCCUUGCUUUUUUUUGCCACAAGGUUUCCAUCUUAAUAAAAAAAGAUGUGUUCUCUGCACGGUUUUGAAAUGUGAAGGAAUCACUUGUCCCAGAGGUGGAGCGGAAAUUAUACUCAUGAAGUACUUUGGGACAAACAAAGGGGAGUCGCAUCUCAAACACGGCUAACUCGAGUAAACAGUAAAGUGCAUCCCAGGGCAACAAUCUGGACCGCAAUGUUUGGUCUAACCGGAACAUGAACCCACUCCAGGGAGCCUCUAAUCUGACUGGGGCUCUGUUAUGACUGUGGGGGUUGGACGAAGGUUGGAUGUUUGAGGAGGUACAGGUCAGGGGUCUCUGUUAGAGGACUGGGUGGCCACUUUAGGGGGCAUUUAGGCCUCAGGCUGUAGAAGGUGGGUGCUGCUCAAGGAGCCAGGAUAAUCACAGAACAGAGCAUUGGCCCAAAUGAGGCAUACAAGCUGAAAGUGAGACUUUUCAUCUGUAAGAUUAUGUGUUUAAACUUACAAUAAAUGCAAUCACGUUACAUGGAAGGAUAUGAUUAAGAGAUGAUUAUAGAGAAAAAGUAUGGCAGCCCCUCCCAACUCUGCUAGCAUCGUGGCCUCCAUCAACACACAAACACACACGCCUUCCCAAGCCUGACUGGUUAGAUUGCUCACACAUGCUCGUGGCAGACUGCCACGCGACAGCACAGGAGGCCUAGCAGGCAUGGCAGGCAUCUGCUGGGACGACCGGAGAGCGUGAACCUGCACGGGGGAUUCGGGCCUCCAAAAACAACGGCAGCAGUCCGGUCCACCCUGCCUGUCAAAUGAGCUUCAGUUCGAGUGUGUCACAGACCGACGUCUGGACUGGAGCCGCAUGGAAAUGUGAACAGCAUGGCUCAGUAAGCCUGGGUGUGUGAGGACUGCAUUUUUGAUUUGAGAAGUUGGACAAAGGGAGCAAACACCAGAACCAGAGGACAAAACCAGGCCACCCGGUCAAACUCAGUCGCUGAAAGAUUCAUCAUGCAGUCCAAGAUUGGGUUACUGACCACGUUUAGAGCCCCCAGAGGAGGAAACCGAAGAGGAGCUGCUUACAGGGGAAGUAGAAAUGAUGUCCUUUCCGAUUCAUUGAAACAGUUGUCAUUUACUCCGUAGAGUACUGCAGGCUUAGAACACACAAACAAGCUUGGUGAUUGUUUGAUCCGCACAAAAAGAAUCAGUGUCAGCAACGCUUUGCUAAACAAGCAAAUUCUGAACCGCAUCAGAAUACUGUUCUAUAAAAGUGUCCUGACGUGUUUCACUUCUGUGUUAAUCCACUGUGGUGCCUGUAAAUUCUGUAUAUAUUUGCUUUAAAGGUCAAGUAGGAAUAGCUGGUUUACUUCUUUGUGUUUUUUUCCCUGUUCACUUUCAUUUGAACCAUAAUGCUCCCAAAUGAGCAGAUGGGAGUACUGCCUGGAUUUCUUUUGUGGUUUUUUUUCAAAGGGAACACACUGUUGCUUCAUUCUUACCCACUCCAGUGAAAAUUGUGUUUUUGACAUGUUCUUGAGACAUUUUAUGAUGAUGGAGGACAAAGCUAAAGAGUAUUUCUUUAUUCAAAUUGAUGUGAAUCAGGAGCAGUCGUAAAAAAUUCCAUUGUGUGCUUGUGACAUAAAUAAAUAUGCUGGGCGGGCCACAAGCUCCCUGCUUUGCUCCAUUCUGAUGCAUCCAUUAUAGACACAUAGAUUCAUGUGCGUCUCUGUUUUCCUCAUUUGAGCUGGAAUCUGGAUCAAAACUGUACGGCUGGAUCACUCCAAUAUUGCACGCCAUUGUUGUUGCACCAGUUGUAUUAGGUUGGGGUUGUGAGUAGCUGUAAGCCAGCAGAAGAGCAUAUAUACACAGAUGGAUGAUGGGAAGAGGGCGUGCUUACUCCCCACCAACACCUCAGAGAGGAAUUUCUAAUGAGCUCCAGCUGUUCUGCAGAGACCAUAUCCUAGAAGAUGACACAAGUUGUGUGAUUUAGGCUAAAAAUGUCAUAAUCGUGACCACUCGGAAUGCUUUUACUACAGAUCAAAAUAUGAUCAGAGUGAAACUUAAAGGCGGGCUAGAAAUAGAAGGUAAAUAGAAUAAAAUCAGUUCACCAGAUGACCACUAGGUCGCCAGUUCCUACACGUUAGUUUCUGUCUAAUCUAAUGUAAAACAGCUCAAAUAAACAGUGUGGCUUAAAACCUUUUUAUCCAAACUCAUGUUAUUUUUAUCCCAAAAAUUUGUUUUGAAGACGAAUUUUUAUUCUUUUAUGUUAUAUUUAAGGUGAAAAUCGUAGUUCAAGCCUCACCCACUAAAUUAUCCAUGUUUUAAAGAAGGCGUUCAAUGACAUCAUAACCAGCUGAGGUGAUAACGACCACAGAGCUGAGAAACUGGCUUUAAAUAGGCUUGACUCUAACCAGAUGGUCACAUGAUCACAGGAUCUGUCCAUCUUAUUUUUUUACCACAAUAUUUACUACUGUUCACUUUGACGAAUAUUGUGUGUAAAAAAAAAAAAAUAAGCAUCACAUUAAUAAAUCAUCUGCCAGACUGUCCCAGUGUUGAAGUUUCCUCUGAAGCAACAGGGAUCCUAACGUUUGGGUUCAGGGGCAGACCCUCUCUCAAUGAGGGAAUGAGGGUGGGAGUGAGAUAACAGCUGGGGCCAUUUGGGUUAAGGAUAAAUAUUCUCUCUACUAGCUUUUCUGAGUUCAUCCUCCACGGGGAGCGGCAUUCAUUCCUCGACUCACCCCUCACCUUUAAUCAUCAUCUCCCUGUUCUGCUCGUAAACAAAAGGCUCCAGCAAACAGGAGCAAAAAGCUCUUCCCUUCAGUCAGCCAGCUGCCAUUCCGCUUCUCCAAUCUGAUAACAAAAAACCUACAUCUCUUCGUCUUUAAUUGCUUCGGCGCUCACGUCGGAACCAAGAGUGGAAAAUUCCACAACUCCCAGAUAACUUCACUCCUGAACCGCCUCGCUCCAAAUUAAAGGCAUGUGUGGAAUUUGGUGCAAGAGGUCCAACAUGGGAAAGACGAGGAGUGAAAUGCGUUGAGAAGUAGCUGAAAGAAGCGACCCCUCCCCGUAACUACCCGAAAAAUAUAGGCACGAAAAAGGCCGCACAUGCCCCGAAUGCCUGUUGAUGGAAAGAAAACACACAUCCCAAUUCACGUCUGCCGAAGAUAACCAGCCUGCAAAAUGAAAACCUGUCGUCGGAGUGGGAAGGCUGUACCCUAUUUUCUAUCCGGACUCUAAAAACAAAGGAGGAAGGAGGAGCACCAUCAUAUAAAAAUUUACUGAAUACAAACAUACCGGUGAACGCAACACUUUAGUUAUUGCUCCCAUUUGUCCUGAAAUGAACUCAAAGAUCUGAAACAUUUUCUACAAACACAAAAAAAACAUUUUUCUCAAAUUGUUUUCAUAAAUCUGUGAUAAUAAGCACUUCUCCUUUGCUGAGAUAAUCCAUUCCUCCUCAAAGGUGUGCCAAAUCAAGAUGCUGAUUAGAUUGCAUGAUUGUUGCACAGGUGUGCCUUAGACUGACGACAAUAAAAGGCUACUCUGAAA